AUCCUUAACCAGUCUGUGUAGGAAUUUACAGCCCAGCAUGAAGUGUGACAGUUCUUUGGAGCCACUGAGAGUUCCUGCUGCUGCUGCUGCUGCAUUCCCG